rnacentral:lncRNA from 1 species
GUCAAAGGGGCGACACAGGAGUCUAUUUACAUUCUCCCCAGCCUGAGCUCGUGCAUCCUGCCUUUUGUCCUGUUGGAUUUUGCAUGGCUCAGAGCUGGCUCGGAACACAGGGAGGGACAGUCCCAGAGGCAGAGCUUGCUUGCCCCUGCUAUUUAGAGCUCACAGUGAUCAAAGAUUGAAAACCGGCCUCUUCCUCAAACAACAUGAGUCAUUGGCCAAUGCAGAUGUGAGCAAAAGCAUCUUAGCCUCUCUGUUUUCAUACAGGGUAUUCAGAAAUAUUUCAACACUUUACAGCAACACACAAAAGGCAGAUUCACAGAGGAGCUCACUGGUCUGGAUCCUGAGAGUUAUUUACAUUCUUCAUCUUCACUUUUGAAGAUUUCAGGUUCUGAGCCUAUAACAAGAAAAGCCAGGUUCAGGAAUUUAAAUGCUAGCACAGAUAUUAAGGGAA